rnacentral:pre_miRNA from 1 species
CUAACUUAAAUUUGUAUGGAGUUGAAUUUUUGCCUACGUUUGCCACUAGGGGCGCUGUUCCAACUGCAUACCAAUUUGAGUUA